GGACGUGAAAUACUUCGAUGAUGAUGAUGA
rnacentral:piRNA from 1 species